UUUCGUUUUAAAAAAUACACAUAAGACCUUUUUAAAAUUACAUGUAAAUAUGUUGUGAGCCAUGAUUCUGAAUCAAGCCAUUAAAGCAAUCUGUUCAGGACCUCGACGCAAAUUAUAUAUUAACCUUACGCGGUUAUAUUAGCGUAAGUUACACGCACGUAAUUAGAAGAUGGCCAAAGUUAAUAUUUAAGGCUUUUUGUUAGGCUAUUGUUAGUCCAGGUUAAGCCUCAAUUUGGCGCUGUUGUGAUGUUUAAGAGGACGUGGUUGCACUCAGUAUUAACAUCGUGUGUUAAGAUAUUUUUCACGUUCUCAUUAAAACGAAGUGUUAAACCGGAUUUUUUUAAUAAGAAUGUUAACCAGUCUGUGCUCAGGUAACGUUAGUUGUAGUCGAGACACAGAUGUGUUAGACAUUUUUGGCUAGUGAUGUGCGGAUCUAUACUAAAGUAUCGAUAUUUACGAUCCCAACGUCUCCUGCUCUAGUAUCGAUUCUCAUAUUAAAAUGUCGAUAUUUAAACUCAGUAAUUUGGAGUGAGUGUUUAUCAUAAGUAACUUGCUGGCACCAGAAAAGUCUAAUUAUAUCCGGUUAGGGGAAGGAACUACUUCUCCUUCCGCCGGUCAGGUGUGUGUGCACUUCGGCUCUUUGACGGGGCCCCUGCAGCCUUUUAUUUUCCCGCUACGAAGACUGAAGAGUGACUGUGGCUGAGCGUGAUGUGUUUGGAAAGACAGUGAAAUUCAGUGGUAACACUACACUACAAACCUCGCUAAAUAUCCGAGGAUAAGUCAUAAUAUGAUGAUUUAAUGAAACGGCGGACUGAGGAGGAGGUCCACGGCGAGAAGACGCGAUAUAUAUAAACGUCUGUGUCCAAGACAGACUUCAAUCAGUGAGUCAUUUGGCAGCAGCGGCAGACGUUAUCCAGAUCAAAACGGCCACCACAUUUUUGGAGGUUCCACCGAGAUUUCCCUCGUCUGUGUGCCAGUCUUGAGGUCGUUCCUUGAUCGGUCUGGACUUGACCAACCCGAAGACGGUUACGUUCUCGAACCACACAAUUGACUACUAGUUGGGAGCAUUCUGGACAAUGGCGAGACUGUCCCAGUGACGGGAUUCUGAGCUAAGUGACAGGUGAAGGACACCCUUUCUAAGCCAAAUGCAGACGCAUUGCCUAAUGAAUGGAUUGUGGUGAAAGACUUCAGGAGAAAGAACUGGAGGGCCAAGCAUUGGCAGGGACAGUUCCAGAUUCUGCUGACUACACCCACCCCUGCGAAAAGAGUGGUGAGAGAAACAUGGAUCCAUACCAGCCACUGCAACCAGGUACCAGUACUAAGCCAGGAGUACAAGAACAUAUCAGCAGACACACCAAUGGAAGAAGGGUAUGGAUCUGUUUUUAACAAAUUCAUAGUGAACUUUUCAGAAGCAGGCCUAGAAUUAUUGAGAAGCAGCUAGGAAAAUGUCCUGAUUAGGGAUAACUUAUUGUGGCCAACAACUCUAAGAGUUUACCUGCACUCAUGAAACAGCCAAUACCGGUAGUGUUCCCAAGCCUCGGUGAGGUGGGACGAGUGCGAAAUGGCAUUGCCUGCACUCUGAGCACCGAUAUACGUCAAGAAGGGUGAAGGUUCACUUAGUUUGGUGCUGCCUACAUUAAUCACUGAGUGACAUCCUGAAUUGUGCUGCUUCUCUCUCUAUCCUUUAUUAUGCUUAAACCAGAGGGCCCUAUCCCUCAGAGAAAAAAACAGCAGUAUAUCCAAUGUCUAAAUUUUAGUUAAUGAAGAUGUCAUUAAAAAGCCCAACGGAAAA